UUGCCAAGGGCACGCUGGCGCCCGGAGCACCCCCUUCUCUCACCCCGCUAUUCCCAGGGCUGCUCCUCACGCUUUUCCCCUCACACUUCUUCCCUCGCACCUCCCGGCAGCCCUUCGCGCCCUCGCAGAGCCGCCGCCGCCAUCGCUGCCGGGCUCGGCUGCGGCCUGCGGCAGGGCCGGCCCCGAACCGGCCGCACCCGGCCCCGGCCUCUCCUCACGGGGGCCCGGCAGACCCCGCUGCCGGCCCGGGUGUUGGUCUGCGGGCGGCGGUGUGUUUGAAAGCCUUACGUAUGAAAGCUCUCUGAAAAGAGCUGGCUUUACCCCUGCGGAUGUUACUGGAGUGGUGACUUGUGAGCAGACUGGAUACAGAGAGGUGAGAUGGGGGAAAACACUCUUCCAGCCUUCCCACUGCCUGUCUGCAGCUGGAACGCCUGGCUGAUGGUUUUGAAUGCUUGGAGUUGGCAGUCCUGAUCUGAGCCAUUCGCUUUUCCAAAGAGACUGCAAGUCAUCAAAAGACAAAAGAUAAGCCUGUGGCCAUACGGUGCUGGAACGUUUCCAGAUCCAAAUCAGCCAGAAAAAAAAAGUGAGACUACAAGACAAACACCAGACCUCUUGAGUUUCGUCUGUCCCAGGAAUCACAACCAAUCUCUCUGAACGCUCAGCCCGAAGAAGGUUAGAGGGAUCCCGCACCGCCAACUGAAACACCAGGGCGAUAUACGUCAUGCGCGGUCUGAAGGGAAAUGUUAAGGCAGAGCUUGGACAGCUAUCAACGAACGGCUUUUGCAACGUAUGAGUUUCAUCUGUCCUGCAAAAUAUGGGGGUUUGAUGCUUCUGUUACUCUUACUAAACUAGAGGACGGCAGGCUAAGUGCUGUAAAACUGCAGUGCUCUGGUUACUCCUUCUACCUCUUUUACAGCUUUCCUGUGUAUCGGCACCACCCAGGGAAAGAAAUACCUAAAUUUAACUUGCCACCUCCCAAAAUCAUUUCCGAGACUGAAAAAGGGAACUGAAAUAACUACCGUCACAAGAACUUUUUCACAAAAAAGAAACGCUUUAGCCUGAUUUCCAAAUGAAAUCCAACUGAUGUCUUGCUUGGAAGGGACAGCUACGCUUUAAUAGGUUCAUCGGCUAUUUCUUUUCUGCCUCUGUGUUCUUAAUGAUAAAGGAUAAAUAGGUAGAGCUGAUGCCUGGGUGAGCAAAUUCUCAUGGAACUUCUCCAAUUUAGAGGGAUGAGUUAAUUUGCUUUUUCUUUCCAAUGCUAUUUCAUGCAUCAUAUGACAAGACACAUCUGUUCAGUGACUAAUAUAAAGGGAAUAUCCCAUGUGUGUAAGCGGCACAAGCCUGCCUCACACUCAACCUUUCUGAAUUUUUUUCGAGGGCUGGUUAUGCAAUAAAUAAAUGGGGACAAAUUCAUCCCAGGGAAGAACUUUUAGUCAGCUUUGAAAGCAGCAAUUUGGCUUGGAAAAAUAUUCAACAUCAAAAUAAUAAUGAGUGCAUGUUAGUGCUGACAGUCCUGGAGACAAGAAUUCUCCGUGCGUCCGGAGCCAACUUCUCAAGUCCUCUCUCCUUCAUAUCUUAGCUCUUACAUAUGGAAAACCCUCAGCAGAAGGGGUGGAGGAUGGGAGUGGAAGGGUUUGUAAGACUAAAUGCCUCGAGAUUUGGCUUUCAGCGAACAGGCAUGCCAGGCCUCGAAAACCAGUGGUGAGGACAUUGAUGGCACCUGACGCUGUUUUGCUCCACUGCUGAUCCCGAGGGAACCCACGGGGAAAGAGGGGGGUAGAGAAGAGGGGCCACUGAUGUCUUCGUGCUGGCUAAGGUGCCAAUAAAACACCAGACACUUGCAUUUUGCAGUCCCUACGCUGGUUCUGUAGGACCUCCCUGUAGGCCACGGAGCAGGCAGCUGAAGUGAAUGGCAUUUGGUCUGUGCCAUCUGGAGUUGUCAGUUUAAUGAUGUAGGACUCAGGGAACAGUUUAAUAACUAAAUCUAGCCAGUAGCCCUAGCAGUCCUUGGAGCUUUGCAAUACUUUGAAACAGUUGUGCAAUAAAGAGGAAAAUAAGAACGUAUUGAAAAGGAGUAUUUCAUCAACUAGAGGCUGGGGAAUAAAUCACAGAAAACCAUGCACUGAAAGUAAUGUAUCUGCUAGAUUUGGCUGGGCUUUGGGAUUUGUUUUUCGUCUAUUUCUAUUCACAGAUUGUUCGUCUGCAAAUUGCUGUCCACUGCUUCAAGUGGUGUCUAAGUGCAUCAUGCAGUUAAAGUUUAUGAACCAGUGUUGCCAGUGGAGCUCCGUUACUUCCACUAGCUGAACUGUUGGCCUUAUGUAUGUUUUUAUGACCUUUUUCAUUAUUCUUGAUUGUUUGAUGAUGACAAUAUAUUCCUUCCUUUCUGCGAGUGA